rnacentral:lncRNA from 1 species
AAAAAAAAAAAAAAAAUGGCCAAAAUUUAAUUGCCAGAUUUUUCUGCAAUUUUUGCAAAUGCAUAAAAAGAAAGAACUUUUUCGCACUUAUUAUAUAAACAUCUUCGUGAACUUCAACGAGCACAGAUGUAAAAUAUGAAAAACCUAAAAUCUUAAUCCAUCAACUGAAAAAAAAAAAUCCACCAAAAUUUAAUUGCUAGAUUUUUCGGCAAAGUUCAUAUAACGAAAGCACUUUUUCGCACUCAUAAUAUAAACAUCUCCAUGAAAAUCAACAAAAAUGCUAAAACCCAGAUAUAAAAAUAUUUAAAAAAUUAAAAAAAAAAAAAAAAAAAAAAAACUU